rnacentral:rRNA from 1 species
UACGUAGGGUGCGAGCGUUGUCCGGAAUUAUUGGGCGUAAAGAGCUUGUAGGCGGUUUGUCGCGUCUGCCGUGAAAAUUCGAGGCUCAACCUCGAACUUGCGGUGGGUACGGGCAGACUAGAGUGUGGUAGGGGAGACUGGAAUUCCUGGUGUAGCGGUGAAAUGCGCAGAUAUCAGGAGGAACACCGACGGCGAAGGCAGGUCUCUGGGCCACUACUGACGCUGAGGAGCGAAAGUGUGGGGAGCGAACAGG